UCCAGGACCCCACCCUUUCCUCAUAUGUUAACAGAAAGAUGAUAACACUCAUCACGCAGGGUGGUCAUGAGGCUCAGAGAGCAAAUGAGUAGAUCACAGGGGAAGACUUCUGCUUGCUCCUGCUUUCAAGGAUCCACAUGGAAAUUAUGUGUGAAUCUACAGAUGUUAGAGAUCAAGGGGAAAGAGAGGCAAAGAAGUGAAAUGCACUGUCAAAGGCUGCCUGGCUGGUUUGUGUGGCAAGGCUUUCUGCUCAACCCCAUCCAACAGAGCUGGAUUUCCACCUCUCCAACAGGUGCUAAUAGAGCCUGACGGCCCACAGAUGAAUCGUAAGGAGAAGAAAGGGAGGGGAAAGCUGUAGAUCAGGAGACUUCAGAGACAUAUCAACUGUUGAUAGGAGACUUGAUCUCCCUUGUUGGCUUUGAAGUAAGCAGCCAUGUUGCAGAGGCCCACCGAGUAAGGAACUGAGGAUGGUCCUCAGUCUGACAACCCACAAGGAACUGAAUGCUGCCGACAACCACGUGAGCUUGGAAGCAGAUCCUUCCCCAGUGGAGCCUCAGAUGUCACCCGGCCCCAGUUCACACCCUGACUGCAGCUUGCGAGAUUCCAAAGCAGAGGCCUCAGCUAAGCUGUACCCUGACUCCUGGCCCACAGAAGCUGGGAGAGAAUAAAUGUGUGUUGUUUGAAACCACUGAA